rnacentral:rRNA from 1 species
AUUGAACGCUAGCGGGAUGCUUUACACAUGCAAGUCGAACGAGUGGCGGACGGGUGAGUGAUAUAUCGGAACGUGCCCAGUAGCGGGGGAUAACUCCUCGGAAGAGUGGCUAAUACACCACACUAUUGGAGCGGCCGAUAUCGGAUUAGCUAGUUGGGGGGGUAAAGGCUCACAAAGGCGACGAUCCCUAGCUGGUUUGAGAGGACGAACAGCCACACUGGGACUGAGAAACGGCCCAGACUCCUACGGGAGGCAGCAGUGGGGAAUGUUGGACAAUGGGGGAAACCCUGAUGCAGCCAUGCCGCGUGUAUGAGAAGGCCUUCGGGUUGUAAAGUACUUUUGGCAGAGAAGCGUUACCUGCAGAAUAAGCACCGGCUAACUACGUGCCAGCAGCCGCGGUAAUUC